rnacentral:lncRNA from 1 species
AUCUUCGCAAACAACCCAUGUAAUACAUAAGGGAAAAGAUACAUAGUUGGCUUACAAUCGCCACUUCACACAAUUACAUGAAUAAAGCAUUACAUCAUCCAAAUACACUCAAGGUCCGACUACGGAACCAAAAUAAAAGAACCCCAAAUGCGACAAAGGUCCCCGAUCGACCCCAACUGGGCUCAACUACUGAUCAAGUAGAACGAAACAACACAAAGGACAAGAUCUUCAUCGAGCUCCUCCUGAGCUUGGUUGCGUCAUCUGCACGGUCUCAUCGGCCCUAGUAAGCUGGUAUUGGAAGUAUCUGUGAGCCACGGGGACUCAGCAAUCUCGCACCCUCGCGAUCAAGACUAUUUAAGCUUAUGGGUAAGGUAAAGGUAUGAGGUGGAACUGCAGCAAGCGACUAGCAUAUAUGGUGGCUAACAUACGCAAAUGAGAGCGAGAAGAGAAGGCAAAGCACGGUCGAUAAAAGUAUGAUCAAGAAGUGAUCCUAAAACAACCUACGUCAAGCAUAACUCCAACACCGUGUUCACUUCCCGGACCCCGCCGGAAAGAGACCAUCACGGUUACACACGCGGUUGAUUCAUUUUAAUUAAGGUCAACUUUAGGUUUUCUACAACCGGACGUUAACCGCGGGCACGACUUUCGAAAGUUCAAAACCCUGCAGGGGUGUCCCAACUUAGCCCAUCACAAGCUCUCAUGGUCAACGAAGGAAUAGACCUCCACCCAAGACAUUCCGAUCAGACUCAGUAUCCCGGUACAACAAGACAUUUCGACAGGGUAAAACUAAACCAGCAACACCGCCCGAGUGUGCUGACAAAUCCCGAUAGGAGCUGCACAUAUCUCUUUCUCAGGGCACACUCAGAUUGUCCUAGGUACGGGUAGGCCAGCCUAGAGUUGCCCCUGGUGGCCACCGGUAGCUGACAGGUGGACCAACACUCAGAGGAGCACUGGCCCAGGGGGUAAAUAAUGAUGACCCUUGGGCUGGCUGACCCAGGGGAAAGAAAAGGCUAGGUGGAGAAUGGUAAAACCCAUGUUGGGCAUUGUUGGAGAAGUUUUAAUUCAAGGCGAACUGUCAAGGGGUUCCCAUUAUUACCCAACCGCGUAAGGAACGCAAAAUCCGGGAACAUAACACCGAUAUGACGGAAACUAGCGUGGCAAGAGUGGAACAAAACACCAGGCAUAAGGCCGAGCCUUCCACCCUUUACCAAGUAUAUAGAUGCAUUAAUUAAAUAAGAUAUAUUGUGAUAUCCCGACAAGUAACAUGUUCCAACAAGGAACAACAUCUCCAUGUUCCAACAAGGAACAAACUUCAAUCUUCACCUGCAACUAACAACGCUAUAAGAGGGGCUGAGCAAAGCGGUAACAUAGCCAAUCAACGGUUUGCUAGGACAAGGUGGGUUAGAGGCUUGGUUCAACAAUAUAGGAGGCAUGAUAAGCAAGUGGUAGGUAUCGCAGCAUAGGCAUAGCAAAAGAGGGAGCAACUAAGCAAGCAAAGAUAGAAGUGAUUUCGAGGGUAUGGUCAUCUUGCCUGAAAUCCCGCAAGGAAGAAGAACGAGUACAUGAAGAAGACAAACGGACGUAGACGAACGGGUCCUCACAAACGCAACAUUACCGGAAUCAACCCAAAGAAGCAAACACCGGAAAAGAAGCACACAACAUAGUAAACAACCAACACAUGAACAUGGUAUGAUAUGCGGGAUGCGGUAUGCGAUGCAUAUGCAUGAUUUGACAAGGAAUGCAUGAAUCUGGCCUCAACUUGGAAAUCCAAGUGUGCCACUGGAAAGGUGAGAUGAAAUCGCUUGAAAACGAUAUAAAGAACCGGAAUCGGAGUUACGGUUUGGAAAUGGCAAGCGAUUCAAAUAUGACACCGGUCUGCGAUUUACAGCAAGUAGCCAUCUAAAUGCAAUGAGAUGAACAUGCUACAGGACCCAAACAUGACAACAAAAUACAUGGCAGGGAUGCAUACAAGAUGCUUAACAAAAGUAUAGCACUGAGCUACGGCCAAUUCAUCCAUUAACAGGUUCAGACAAGCAUGGCAAAAAUGCAUAUGACAAACAUAUUUCAGACUUAAGUGAAAUUAACACUGGUAUGGAAUUUCAGAUCAGAUAGCCCUCUUCUAACAGCAUUUUGGGCAUCAAUAUGAACUCAAAUGAAAAUGAUGCAAUGGAAUGAAAUGAUGUACUCUCUGAGAUGAACAUUUUGAUAUGCUAUAUGCAUGAAUCGGAGCUAUGGAUGCAAAGUUACGGGGCUAUGAGCAUGGGCACUUGGAUCUGGGAUGUUCAGGACUUAGUGAAAAUAUACCUCCGGAAAAAGUCAAACCGGGACGAAGUGGUACAGGACAGAGGGAUCCGGAUCUGGACGAGGCGUUUGGAUGGACGCGCGGGUGGAUCUGAUCCCGCUUCACGGAUCUCGCCGGAGAAGUUCGCCGGAGACGGAGGAGAUGGCCGGAGGUGAGGAGGAGCUCGCCGGUGGAGAGGGAGGCCGGCGAUGGCACCACGGCGGCGUGGCGCAAGGACGGAGGCGGGGCGCGCCUCGGCUCGGCGGAGGAGUGGGCCGGGAGGCGGCGCAAGUGCGGCGGCGGCGAAGCAAGUGCGUCAGCGGCGGAGCGGCGCAAGGCGAGGCUGGCGCGGUGGUGGACGAGGCGUUUCGGCGCGCGGUCGGGCAGCGGUUCGGGCGACGAAGGCCGGGCGGCGGCGGAUCCGGGCCCCGCGGGCCAGAUCUGGGCCGCGCGGUCGAGCGGCGGAGGAGAGAGGAGGAGGGCCGGCGCGGUGAGGUGGCGGCGUCUGGUUGGUCGUGGGAGGUGGAGGAGGCGACGUGCCGGCUCCUCAUUGGUCUGGGUGAGGUGGUCGGGCAGUGGAGCGGCGCGGGAAGAAACGUCCGGCUGCGCGCGGAGGAGGAGGUUAGGGUUCAUCUACGCGAAAAUUCCGAGAGGAACACAUAUUUAUAGGUAGAGGGAGCUAGGAGAGUCCAAAUGAGGUGCGGUUUUCGGCCACGCGAUCGUGAUCGAACGACCGAGAUGAUGGAGUAGGUUUAAGUGGGUUUUGGGCCAAAUUGGAAGGGGCUGCAACACACACAAGGCCUUUUCGGUCCCUCGGUUAACCGUUGGAGUAUCAAACGAAGUCCAAAUGGUACGAAACUUGACAUGCGGUCUACCGGUAGUAAGCCAAGGACGCCUGGCAAGUCUCGGUCCAAUCCGGAAAUGUUUAAUCCCCACACAUGAAAGAAAGGUAGAAAUGACCACCAGAGGAGAACGGAGCGCCGGAAUGCAAAACGGACAACGGAAAAAAUGCUCGGAUGCCUAAGAAGAACAUGUAUGCAAAUGAAAUGCACAUGAUGACAUGAUAUGUGAUGCAUGACACGCAAGCAAUGAUAAGGAAACAACAGCGAAUAAGUGGAGGACACGUGGCACAUCGGUCUCGGGGCGUUACAACACUCCACCACUACGAGAGGAUCUCGUCCCGAGAUCUAGAAUGGCACUGGGGAAACAAUGGAAGAAAAGAGAGGAGAGGUAAAACUAAGUUCCUUCUUUGACAAACGAGUGAGACCAAAGACCCUUGAGAGGUUAAACAAAAUGAAAGAAAGAAGCCAUGGAGAAGAACAAAGGUGAAAGCACUCUGUAAAGAGAGAGGAAUAAGAAAGAACCAAUUCGGGUAGCACUCCGGUUGAAAAGAGUUGAAAAACUUGUUAAAAUGAAAGAACUUGAGCAGAGGACACAACACUCCGGUUAAAUGGGUGGGCAUGAAAAGAAUAUGAUCUUGUCAAAAUGAGGUGAUGGAAUGGAAGGAGCAACACACAAUGUCUCCGGAACGAAAAGAAUAGAAUAUAGAUAAUUGAAAUAAAAGAAUGGAGAAGAAAAAGCCAACUUCUGCCACAAAAGAACUUGAAAAGGUAUCCUUAGGAGUAGGGUCGAACGAAGUUGUUGGAAAACCAACAACGAAAAGAUAAGCUUGAUAUGGUCUUAAGGAAUACAUCUCAAAUUAUGAGGUGACAACCUGCCACUCACGGGAAAAAGAAUUGGAUUGGUAUGAAUAAGGAGACGAUAAAAUAUUUCACCGGGAGGAUAAAGAAGAACCUGGGUCCUUUAUAAGCACCAUAGAUAGCAACAAUCCUUAGGGAAAGUUUUAGGUGAAAUAUAACCCAAGAUAAUUCCAACGAAGAGGUUGAUGGAUUUAAAAUAUCUCAUUCUUAACAACAUUCGAAUCAUGAAACAUGAACUCGGAUUAUCAAGAAUGAUACAAUACCAUCUCCAAUGAUACGGAAGAAAGAAUUGCACUCCGGAUAGAAAGAAGAAGAAAACUUGAGUUCCUCUGAAAAGAAAGUUCAUGAAUGUUUCGAGAAGGAAUAUAAAUCCUUGAUGAACCAUCCUGUAGAGCCUCCAUGAAGAACUCCGGUUAAAAGAAUGAUCACAAAGAAGUGAAAGAUGAAAAGAAUAAGGUUGAAACCUUGCAAUGAUUAGAUGGAUCUUCAUGAUGAUGAAAGCUUGGAACUCCGGGAAAAGAGAAGAUGAAACAAUUGAAAUCAGGAAUUUGAUGAGCCUCCGGAAUAAGGAAUUAAACUCUUGGAUGAAACAAGAAUAAGAAUUACAUUAUGCUUAUCCUUCAGCAAUUAAAUUGAUGACAAUCAACGUAUUUGACAUAUUACUUAUUCUUGUAGAAAGGAUUAAGAUAGAUACAGCGCAAACUUGAGAAAGUCUUCCACGAACCACCGGAAGGAUUGAAACAACAAAUAAAUUGAUAUGAUAAUGAAGGAAAAGAAAUCUUUGGAGAACCACCGUAAGAAUUGAAAAGAACGAUUAACAUGAAGGCACACCAGGAAGAAUUAGCAAUUAAACGAAGAUGCUUGAGAGAAUUUAGACCCAUGAGAAUGAAGAGAUCACGAGGCGAUUAAAGAUCACUUGAACGAAGCACCGGUAAAAUUUGAGAAUGAUAGCUGAAAUCUGAGAAUGAAUAAACUCUGAGAUGAUGGGCUCUCGAUAAAACAAACUGAAAUACUCUUGAAUUGCUCCGGAUGGAUAAAAGAAUUCUCACAAUCAAACAAUUAUGACAGGAUGGCCUCGAAUUAGAACCACGAAUCUCUGAGAGAACGGAUAAGAUAUGGAGUUAAAAUUCUUUUUCGGUCUUCAAAAGCUGAGAAUGACGACGAGAAACACCACCAUGAAUUGUUGAGAUGCUCUGGAUUGAAGAAUAAUGGAAAAGUUGAAAACACGAUGAAAAGAAUUUGGAAGAUCUUGGAGAGAAGCAUUUGACUAAUGAUAAAUCAUUCUUACGUCAAACUUCAAAAGAAAUUUGAGGAUAGCUCCGGGAAAUAAGAAGAGUCAGGUAAGAUCCUGGGAAUAGACCUGUGGGUUAGGGCCCACUCAAAAGAAACACCAUAGAAAUGAUUUAAAAGAAAGGUUGCAUCGGUUGAAUUAAAUGGCUAGAAUGAGAUGACAAUCUCGAAAGAACUUGAACGCAUGCAGAGUGGAAACAUGAAUCUUCUGAGAUAUCUUGAGCACUCCGGAACAAUUGAAUAGCGAGAGGUGAAUGAUAAAUAGGUGCACCGGUAAGAAAAAAACAUUUUAAAUACGGAAAAGAAUCUGAACAACACCGAAAGCUUGAAUUUGGAUCCACCGGAGGGGAAAACGAGUGAUGAGAGACAGACUUGAAGCUCCGUUAGAAUCUUCAUGAGAAUCACCGGAUAAGAGCAUUGAUGGAAAAGAAUGGAGAGGCUUCCAUCAAUAAAAUGAUACUUGAUUGGGAAAUCUGAGUCCUUGAAGAAAAAGAGGUGGGUGGGUGGGAAAACAAAGACAACUUGAAGACGGAUGAAGCAAACAACGUUGAUGAAAGCUAAGAUUGGAUCUUGCGGAUGUUGAAAUGUUCGGAUCCACUAGAAGAGAAGCACACCGGUUGAAAAGAAUUGACAUGACAAACUCGAUGAUCGAGAAGGAUUAGUAUUCACAUAGGAAUAUGAGAACACCAUUUAGGAAAGGUAUGGAAUCAACAUUUGACUUCGAAGCAACUCGAAUACCACAACUCAAAACAAAAACAAUGGAUUGGCUUGCAAAAUAAGCCAGAACAAACAUAUGAUAGAGAUUUCGUCCGAAGUUUUCGUGGUGGUUCCUACACGGGCUCGAUCGUACAACACCAUCAUGUACAAGGCAGUGCACACGACAUACGAAGCGUCCCCGAGUCGGCAUAGCCAAGGACUCUUUAAGACACAACGAGACCACUGUAAAACCGACCGUGAAUACGCGAACCACUAGACGUCGAACCCCAAUUUCAUAUCAUAAUCUGUCGGAAAGAUAUCCUAAGAGCUACUUGAAUUCCCACCUAUGAAACUCACGAAACUUUCCGGUUAUGCAAUCAGGUGUUGGGGAUACUCCUAAAAGCAUAAACUCUCACCCAAACUAGCAAAUCCUACAUCCAGCUGUAUCCAUCCUUCAACACAUAACCAAGAAACCUUCGGAAAUCAUCUACCUCAACCUUCAAAAAGCAUCCGUUAUACAAGUUAUGGCGAUACUCCUGAACUCCCGCCCCAGUACUGGGUGGCGUCGAGGUUAUCUCACCAACAAACUGCAUAAAAGAGAUUUUCAAUGUCGGCGUACUAAACUCAGGUAUUCCCGAACUACAAUGAUAAAAUUAUGAUGACAACACCUCAGAGCUCAACUCCCCGGGACACUUCCACUAAACCCCUGACAGGAGGCACCAAGACAAUGUUCUCAUCAUAAAACCAUCAGAAUGAUUCCAAGAUAACUGUGUGAUCCUAAAAAAAUUUAGUGAAAUUUGAGAAGAGAAGAGUCAAAACUCUACGUCAGGAUGCCUUACCAGAGCGAUGAGGAGACUGGGAAGUAAAAAGAAUUCCUAAACUCUCUGAUAUAUAAUUCCUAAAUGACUCAAAACAUUUUUCUAGACACAACUCGGCCGCUAAUAACGAUCAAGCAAUGGGGCUCCUAAGGUCGAGGAUGGCUCUGAUUACCAACUUGUAACGCCCUCGAUGCGGCUAUAUCUCCCACGGGUCGAAGCACGACUUAGAGGCAUAACCGCAUUGAAAGCAAUGUCACAAGUGAGGUAAUCUUCGCAAACAACCCAUGUAAUACAUAAGGGAAAAGAUACAUAGUUGGCUUACAAUCGCCACUUCACACAAUUACAUGAAUAAAGCAUUACAUCAUCCAAAUAGACUCAAGGUCCGACUACGGAACCAAAAUAAAAGAAGAACCCCAAAUGCGACAAAGGUCCCCGAUCGACCCCAACUGGGCUCCACUACUGAUCAAGUAGAACGAAACAACACAAAGGACAAGAUCUUCAUCGAGCUCCUCCUGAGCUUGGUUGCGUCAUCUGCACGGUCUCAUCG